UACGAGGGGGGCUAGCGUUGCUCGGAAUUACUGGGCGUAAAGCGCACGUAGGCGGCUUGUUAAGUCAGGGGUGAAAUCCUGGAGCUCAACUCCAGAACUGCCUUUGAUACUGGCGAGCUUGAGUUCGGGAGAGGUGAGUGGAACUGCGAGUGUAGAGGUGAAAUUCGUAGAUAUUCGCAAGAACACCAGUGGCGAAGGCGGCUCACUGGCCCGAUACUGACGCUGAGGUGCGAAAGCGUGGGGAGCAAACAGGG
rnacentral:rRNA from 1 species